rnacentral:lncRNA from 1 species
ACAAUAUAUAAGCCUAUAAGCACUCUUUUUCUUCUUGAUUUCUUUGUGUAUUUUGGAGGACAUGGUUUCACGUUAAAUCGGGAGUCACCACAUAGUGCAUCAUUGGACAGGAAGGAUUGGCUCGUGAUAUUUGCAAAAGGUCUGGCUCGUGAUAUUUGCAAAAGGUCCACCGGUGGGAAUUUCACCACUAAGUUUAUUAAAUGAGAUGUUCAGGUAUUUAAUAUACACAAUAGCUUCUAAUGACUUUGGAAUCUCACCACUAAGAUUGUUAAAGGACAAAUCCAAGUAUUCCAAGGCAAGAAGU